ACGGCCAUACAACAUUGAAAACACCGGUUCUCGUCUGAUCACCGAAGUUAAGCAAUUGGAUCUUUCCAGUUGAACUCGAGGACCACGCCAUCACCAUCUUCUCAGCGGUGAAGUACGCAAUCUACGUAUUCU